CAUGGUACAAAAAGGAAGGGAAGGGAAAGGAAGCGAUUGUACGCUCUGAAUUGAGCAUUGCAUGCCUUUAAUCCUCAGAGCAAACUCCAGUUCACAGACAGAAACUUCGGAGAGGUUCAGUACCUUCCUUCAAACCACACAGGCCCGAUCCCGGGACCGUCUAGCCCUGGCCCAUGUUCCUUAUCUACUUGCCGACCACCUGGUAAUGACACAGAUAGGCUCCUGAAGUGGAUGCAACACAUUGCUGGCUGGAGUAAUUGUUCUUGAAAGCAAGCCAGACCCAGCCAUCACCUGCAUAAAACCCUCCUGUGGCUCCCCACUGGUCUCAGGAUAGAUUCCAAACUCCUAGCCUGCCACUUAAGGCCCGGAGUCAUGGGCCUCCUUCAGUCAUGCUGGAUUCUAAUUUCCCAAAUGGUCAACUCUUUCCUGCAGCCUGAGCUACUUGUAACACUGACCACCUCUUUGUCCUUCAGGACACAGCUUGACUCCAACUUCCCUGAGGGUGGAGACGAUGUCAAUCCUGUUUACUUGUCUUUCCAGUGCCAGGAAUAUACUAGAAGGCUUUCAGUAAAUGUAGAAUAAAUGAAUGGUUAAUGGG